AAGCCGUGAGAUGAUUUACUGGGAAUACCACUUGGAGAAGGAACUGUGGUCACAACCAGAGAAUUCUUGUUAGUCUACUCCCUGGAAAAUCAUAGAUUGGAACAGUGUUUUCAUAUUGAUUUAAAGGAAUUUCUGCAUAAGAGACAUGGACUCUUUGUUAUGUAAUGAAAAAGUGCACAGGUUCAACAGGA
rnacentral:lncRNA from 1 species